rnacentral:rRNA from 1 species
AUACGGAGGAUGCGAGCGUUAUCCGGAUUUAUUGGGUUUAAUGGGAGCGUAGGCUGUGCGUUAAGUCAGGGGUGAAAUGCCGUCGCUCAACGACGGAGCUGCCCUUGAUACUGGCGUGCUGGAGUACGGAUGCCGUUGGAGGAAUGAGUGGUGUAGCGGUGAAAUGCUUAGAUAUCACUCAGAACACCGAUUGCGAAGGCAUCUGACGAAUCCGUCACUGACGCUGAGGCACGAAAGCGUGGGGAUAGAACAGGAUUAGAUACCCUGGUAUUCCACGCCGUAAACGAUGAUGACUAACCGUCGGCGAUAGACAGCCGGUGGCCAAGCGAAAGCGAUAAGUCAUCCACCUGGGGAGUACGUCGGCAACGAUGAAACUCAAAGGAAUUGACGGGG